UACAAGUGACUUCCAAUCACUAAAUUUUAGCUAUGCCCUAAAGAAGAGUA
rnacentral:tRNA from 1 species